GUCCUCGCAACCUUCGCGGGCUUCUCCUUUGGCUUCGGCUUGGCGGUCACCUUCGUCUUGGUUGUUGCAGCUUUCGGUUUGGCAGCAGGCUUAGCCUUAGCCGGAGCCGCUUUAGUCUUGGCAGCCACCGCCUUAGUCUUGGCAGCCGGCUUGGCUUUGGGUUUAGCAGCUGGCUUAGCCUUGGCCGGAGCUUUAGCUGGUGCCUUAGCCUUAGCCUUAGGUGGAGCUUUGGCCUUGGAGGGCGCCGCCUUAGUUUUGGCCUUACCAGCAGCAACCGGCUUCUUCUUCUUAGCCGGAGAAGCAGGAACAGAUGCAGCCGGCUUAGAAACGGCAGCCCUAGCCGAUGGAAGCUUG
rnacentral:lncRNA from 1 species